CCCUUAGAUGUUCUGGGCAGCACGCGCGCUACAAUGGUCUUCGCAAACGGAUGCAUUCUCGAAGGAGAAUGCCACUCUUGGAAUCUAUGCCUUGGUCGGGACAGUUGCUUGCAAUUUUUCGACUCGAACCAGGAAUUCCUUGUAAUCGUGAUUCAUCACAUCACGAUGAAUACGUCCCUGCCCUUUGUACACACCGCCCGUCGCUCCUACCGAUCGAAGAGUUAGGUGAAUUGUUUUGAUCGAUAAGAUUUGACUAUGGUCAACUCUCGUUGUGAAAUUCUGUGAAUCUGACUGUUUAGAGGAAGGAAAAGUCGUAACA
rnacentral:rRNA from 1 species